GACGAACGCUGGCGGCGUGCUUAACACAUGCAAGUCGAACGGACAGGCCCUGCUUUUGUGGGGUGCUCGAGUGGCGAACGGGUGAGUAACACGUGAGUAACCUGCCCUUGACUUUGGGAUAACUUCAGGAAACUGGGGCUAAUACCGGAUAGGAGCUACUGCUGCAUGGUGGGGGUUGGAAAGUUUCGGCGGUUGUGGCUGGUAUCGAGGCUUAUCCGCUUGUUAGUGGGGUAGUGGCUUACCAAGGCUUCGACGGGUAGCCGGCCUGAGAGGGUGACCGGCCACAUGGGUACUGAGAUACGGCCCAGACUCCUACGGGAGGCAGCAGUGGGGAAUAUUGCAGAACGGGCGGAAGCCUGAUGCAGCAACCCCGCGUGCGGGAUGACGGCCUUCGGGUUGUAAACCGCUUUCGCCUGUGACGAAGCGUGAUUGACGGUAAUGGGUAAAGAAGCACCGGCUAACUACGUG
rnacentral:rRNA from 1 species